UUGUAUUGCAGGAUGGUCACUAGAACU
rnacentral:piRNA from 1 species